rnacentral:rRNA from 1 species
CCCUUAGAUGUUCUGGGCCGCACGCGCGCUACACUGAUGCAUUCAACGAGUCUAAAACCUGCUCUGAUAGGGGUGGGUAAUCUUUUGAAUGUGCAUCGUGAUUGGGAUAGAUGAUUGCAAUUUUUCAUCUUCAACGAGGAAUGCCUAGUAAACGCAAGUCAUCAGCUUGCAUUGACUACGUCCCUGCCCUUUGUACACACCGCCCGUCGCUCCUACCGAUUGAAUGAUCCGAUGAAUAUCAUGGAUUGAGGAUGCAAGUAGGUUAGCCUAUCUUCAUCUUCGAGAAGUGAAGUAAAUCUUAUCAUUUAGAGGAAGGAGAAGUCGUAACA